UGAGGAAUAUUGCACAAUGGGCGCAAGCCUGAUGCAGCGACGCCGCGUGGGUGAAGAAGGUUUUCGGAUCGUAAAACCCUUUUCUGUGUGACGAGUAAGGACGGUAGCACAGGAAUAAGUCUCGGCUAACUACGUGCCAGCAGCCGCGGUAAAACGUAGGAGACAAACGUUAUCCGGAGUUACUGGGCGUAAAGGGCGUGUAGGUGGUUGCGUAAGUCUGGCGUGAAAUAUCUCGGCUUAACCGAGGCAGGUCGUCGGAUACUGCGUAACUCGAGGACGGUAGAGGCGUGUGGAAUUCCGGGUGUAGUGGUGAAAUGCGUAGAGAUCCGGAGGAACACCAGUGGCGAAGGCGACACGCUGGGCCGUACCUGACACUGAUGCGCGACAGCAUGGGGAGCAAACAGGAUUAGAAACCCUGGUAGUCCAUGCCGUAAACGAUGCUAGCUGGGUGUUCAGGGGGGGAAACCCCUCGGGGUACCGAAGUCAACACGGUAAGCUAGCCGCCUGGGGAGUACGGUCGCAAGAUUAA
rnacentral:rRNA from 1 species